GACAGAGGUGCCGAGCGUUAGGCGGAAUCACUGGGCUUAAAGCGUGUGUAGGCGGAUCCGUAAGUACCUUGUGAAAUCCCACGGCUCAACCGUGGAACGGCUGGGUAUACUGCGGGUCUUGAGCCACUUAGGGGCAACCGGAACAAACGGUGGAGCGGUGAAAUGCGUAGAUAUCGUUUGGAACGCCGAUGGUGAAAACAGGUUGCUGGGAGUGUGCUGACGCUGAGACACGAAAGCCAGGGGAGCGAACGGG
rnacentral:rRNA from 1 species